rnacentral:rRNA from 1 species
UGCCAGCAGCCGCGGUAAGACAGAGGGUGCAAACGUUGUUCGGAAUCACUGGGCGUAAAGCGCGUGUAGGCGGCUAGGCAAGUCGGAUGUGAAAGCCCAAGGCUCAACCUUGGAAGUGCACUCGAAACUGCCCGGCUAGAGUCCCGGAGAGGAAGGUGGAAUGCUUGGUGUAGAGGUGAAAUUCGUAGAUAUCAAGCGGAACACCGGUGGCGAAGGCGGCCUUCUGGACGAGGACUGACGCUGAGACGCGAAAGCGUGGGGAGCAAACAGGAUUAGAUA